UUGAAACAACAAAUAGUCUUUUGGAUUUAUUGUGUUACUUUGGUGACCAGGAGCCCUCAACUGAUUAUCAUUUUCAACAAACUGAACAGUCAGAAGCAUUGGAAGUGGAAAAUGAUGAGACAUCUAGGAGGAAAGCUGGUCAUCAGUUUGGAGUUACAUGGCAAGCAAAAAACAAUGCUGAGAGAAUCUUUUCUCUAAUGCCAGAGAAAAAUGCACAUUCCUAUUGCACAAUGAUCCGAGGAAUGGUGAAGCACCGAGCUUAUGAGCAGGCGUUAAACUUGUACACUGAGUUACUAAACAACAGACUCCAUGGAGCUGCUAAGACACAUGGUUGCUCAGAAGGUGAAACCAAAUCUGCAGACUUUUAAUACCAUUCUGAAAUGUCUCCGAAGAUUUCAUGUGUUUGCAAGAUCUCCGGCCUUACAGAUUUUACGUGAAAUGAAAGCCAUUGGAAUAGGUGAGGAUGCACCCUUGAGUCCUCUGAGGACAGAGACUGUGCCAGCCAGAGGUUUCAGGGCUACAUAAGCAAAGAGCUUUAAAUUAUUCUUCUGCUUACAUAAUAUGUUGGAAAUUUUCUUUCCACGUUUGG
rnacentral:sRNA from 1 species